rnacentral:rRNA from 1 species
GACGAACGCUGGCGGCGUGCUUAACACAUGCAAGUCGAACGGAAAAGCCUCAGCUUGCUGGUGUACUCGAGUGGCGAACUGGUUUGUAACCCGAGGGUGAUCUGCCUUGCACUCUGGGUUAAUCUUGGGUAACUGGGUCUAAUACCGGCUAUGAACAGCAUCUAGUGAGGUGGUUGGAACGUUUUUUCUGUGCAAGAUGACUUCGCGGCCUAUCAGCUUGUUGGUGGGGUAUUGGCCUACCAAGGCGUUAACGGGUAGCCGGCCUGAGAAGGUGUACGGCGAAAUUGGGAAUGAGAUACGGCACAGACUCCUACGGGAGGCAGCAGUGGGGAAUAGGGCACAAUGGGCGGAAGCCUGAUGCAGCGACGCGGGGUGGGGGAUGACGGACGUCGGGUUGUAAACUCCUUUCGACAGGGACGAAGGUAGUUGUGACGGUACCUGUAUAAGAAGCACCGGCUAACUACGUGC